UUUAAGGACUUUCCCAGAUUCGUCCUUGAUAGGAGCAAUAGUAAGCAGGUUCCAAAAUGGCGUCCCAUCUUUCUUAUAAUUCAGCAGUCUCCCACAGUAACUAUUCCCUGCCCGUAGGGCCUCCCUUAUUUUAGCUACAUCUUCUGGGUCCCGUACCAGCACCCUGUAAAAACCGACAAUUCCUGCCUAUGACUUCCUUAGAGGUAUAUCCUGUCAUUUUAAAGAAGCCAGCACUUGCAUACAUUAUUGGGUAGUCUGGCUUUGUAGCAUCUGAUACCACAAAUGUUUGUUGGAAGGAGGAUAAUGCAUCUUUGAUGUCUUCAGAUAUUCUUGGAAUUCCUUUAUAAUCUUUUCCUCCAUCAUCUGAUAAGUCUCCGG
rnacentral:misc_RNA from 1 species